ensembl:lncRNA
AGGGGGGGGGGAAACGGGGGGUGUUGGUUUAUUUAUGGCGCUUUGUUCUGCGGCGCUGCUGUUGGGGAUGCGGUGGUGCAGGGAGAGACUUCAGCUUGGAGGGGAGGGUUUGGGGGUGGGGAUGUCCGAAAUGCUGGGGGUGAGCGGCUCCUGGGGGGGGUUCCACGUGGGAUAACAGCAAAAGCAAAGGGCCGGGCCGGGCUGGGCCAGCAGUGAGGCCAAAACGCACCGCUGUGCGCCCGAAAUCCGCUGCUGGGUGUGCAAAGUGUUGGCGGUGCGUCUUUGCAGAGGGGCAGCUCCCGCCACGGCCGUCCAAUUCCGCCUCUUUGGCAGUGGAUUCCCCGGGGUGCACUGCAUCUGUGCGCAGCCACGCCGUGUGUGCGUUGCACAGAGACACCGGCCCUUGGCGUGCUGCUGUGUGUGCAAGGGCGGGGCGGUGACGUGCAAUGGUCUGCAAGGACGUGCAAAGGUGUGCAAGGGUGUGUGAUUUGCAAGGAGGUGCGAAGGUGUGCAAGGAUGUGUGAGGGCAGACAACGGUGUGCAAUGGUGUGCAAAGGCGAGUAGGGGUUUGUGCAAGGAUGUGCAAAGGUGUGCAAGGAUGUGCAAAGGUGUGCAAGGGUGUGUGAUUGUGCAAGGAGGUGCAAAGGUGUGCAAGGAUGUGUGAGGGCAGACAACGGUGUGCAGUGGUGUGCAGUGGUGUGCAGGGGUGAGUAGGGGUUUGCAAGGAUGUGCAAAGGUGUGCAAGGGUGUGUGAUUUGCAAGGAGGUGCAAAGGUGUGCAAGGAUGUGUGAGGGCAGACAACGGUGUGCAAUGGUGUGCAAAGGUGAGUAAGGGUUUGCAAGGAUGUGCAAAGGUGUGCAAGGAUGUGUGAGGGCAGACAACGGUGUGCAAUGGUGUCCAAAGGAGAGUAGGGGUUUGCAAGGAUGUGCAAAGGUGUGCAAGGAUGGGUGAGGGCAGACAGCAGUGUGCAAUGGUGUGCAAAGGUGAGUAAGGAUAUAGGAUGCAGGAUAUGGGAUGCAGGAUAUGGAAUUCAGGAUAUGGGAUGCAGGAUAUGGGAUGCGGGGAUAUGGGAUGCGGGAUAUGGGAUGCAGGAUAUGGGAUGCGGGAUAUGGGAUGCAGGAUGCAGGAUAUGGGAUGCGGGAUAUGGGAUGCCGGAUAUGGGAUGCCGGAUAUGGAUGCGGGGAUAUGGGAUGCAGGAUGCAGGAUAUGGGAUGUGGGAUAUGGGAUGCCGGAUAUGGAAUUCAGAAUAUGGGAUGCAGAAUAUGGGAUGCGUGAUAUAGGAUGUGGGAUAUGGGAUGCAGGAUAUGGGAUGCAGGAUAUGGGAUGCCGGAUAUGGGAUGCAGGAUAUGGGAUGUUGGAUAUGGGAUGCAGGAUAUGGGAUAUGGGAUGCGUGAUAUAGGAUGUGGGAUAUGGGAUGCUGGAUAUGGGAUGCCGGAUAUGGGAUUCGCGAUAUGGGAUGCGGGAUAUGGGAUGCGGGAUAUGGGAUGCGGGAUAUGGAAUUCAGGAUAUGGGAUGCCGGAUAUGGGAUGUGGGAUAUGGGAUGCGGGAUAUGGGAUGCAGGAUAUGGGAUACAGGAUAUGGGAUGCAGGAUAUGGAAUUCAGGAUAUGGGAUGCGGGAUAUGGGAUGUGGGAUAUGGGAUGCAGGAUAUGGGAUGAGGGAUAUGGGAUGCAGGAUAUGGGAUGCCAGAUAUGAAAUGCAGGAUUAUGGGAUAUGGGAUGCGUGAUAUAGGAUGUGGGAUAUGGGAUGCGGGAUAUGGGAUGCGGGAUAUGGGAUGCAGGAUAUGGGAUGUGGGAUAUGGGAUGCAGGAUAUGGGAUGAGGGAUAUGGGAUGCGGGAUAUGGGAUGCAGGAUAUGGGAUGCCGGAUAUGAAAUGCAGGAUAUGGGAUAUGGGAUGCGUGAUAUAGGAUGUGGGAUAUGGGAUGCGGGAUAUGGGAUGCGGGAUGCAGCCGCGGGCUGCGGGCUCGGGGAGGCGAUGCUGCGGGGCCGCAUUGUGCGGGGCUGCAGCGGGCGGCCGCAUACAAACAGGGAGAUGAAAAGGGCGAGAGGCCCCACGGGCGCGGGCUGUCGGGGUGAUGGAUGGGGGUGAGAUCGGGGUGAGGCCCCUCCUUCCGAGAGCCUCGAGAUGGCAAAACGAUGCGAGGAACGACAGAGCGGCGUUCGGCGAGAGAACGGCCCGGAAAGAGCCCGGAAAGGAGGAAAGGCGUUUUAUUGCAGCCGACCCGAAAGCUCCGCUCCUCCUCGGCGCGGCGGCUGCUUUUGUUUGGGGUCGGAGCUGUGUUGGUUUUCUUUCCCCCUUUUCGGGCUGUUUGAAUGCGAAUAAAGGAGCGCGGUGAGGACGCGUCAAUGGCAGAGAGAAGUGCCGUCUGUUUACACGGCUGUCGGCUUCGGAAUGAAUAACCCGCA